rnacentral:rRNA from 1 species
CCUACGGGAGGCAGCAGUGGGGAAUAUUGCACAAUGGGGGAAACCCUGAUGCAGCGACGCCGCGUGAGCGAUGAAGUAUUUCGGUAUGUAAAGCUCUAUCAGCAGGGAAGAAAAUGACGGUACCUGACUAAGAAGCCCCGGCUAACUACGUGCCAGCAGCAGCGGUAACACGUAGGGGGCAAGCGUUAUCCGGAUUUACUGGGUGUAAAGGGAGCGUAGGGGGCGAUGCAAGCCAGCUGUGAAAGCCCGGGGCUCAACCCCGGGACUGCAUUUGGAACUGGAUAGCUGGAGUGUCGGAGAGGCAGGCGGAAUGCGUAGGGUAGCGGUGAAAUGCGUAGAUAUUAGGAGGAACACCAGUGGCGAAGGCGGCCUGCUGGACGAUGACUGACGUUGAGGCUCGAAAGCGUGGGGAGCAAACAGGAUUAGAUACCCUUGUAGUC